CCCGUCAUACCGAUCUCAGGCUUGAAUCGCAGAGAUCACCAAAUGCCCCGGCGCUGUAGGAUGUGGCUGCGGUUGAUUAGGUUGACGGUGGGGCAACGGCCCACCGUGCCCAUAAUCAGUACAGGUUGUGAGAGCAAGAACCUGGAGACGGAAUCUGAGACAAGAUUCCGGGCCCUACGGGGCGCAGCAGGCGCGAAACCUUUACACUGCACGCACGUGCGAUAAGGGGACUCCGAGUGCGAGGGCAUAUCGUCCUCGCUUUCGUGUACCGUAGGGUGGUACACCAACAAGGGCUGGGCAAGACCGGUGCCAGCCGCCGCGGUAAUACCGGCAGCCCGAGUGAUGACCGAUCUUAUUGGGCCUAAAGCGUCCGUAGCUGGCUNCGCAAGUCCGUCGGGAAAUCCACUCGCCCAACGAGUGGGCGUCCGACGGAAACUGCACAGCUUGGGACCGGAAGGCUCGAAGGGUACGUGCGGGGUAGGAGUGAAAUCCUAUAAUCCCGCACGGACCACCGAUGGCGAAAGCACUUCGAGAAAACGGAUCCGACAGUGAGGGACGAAAGCCAGGGUCUCCAACCGGAUUAGAUACCCGGGUAGUCCUGGCCGUAAACAAUGUUCGCUAGGUAUGACACAGACUACGUGUCUCUGUUGUGCCGUAGGGAAGCCGAGAAGCGAACCGCCUGGGAAGUACGUCUGCAAGGAUGAAACUUAAAGGAAUUGGCGGGGGAGCACUACAACCGGAGGAGCCUGCGGUUUAAUUGGAUU
rnacentral:rRNA from 1 species